rnacentral:sRNA from 1 species
AGGACCCAGAGCCUGAAGUCGUAAUCAAGAGCAGAACUUCGCCCCAGAACUGAAGGCCUCGGCCCUAGAUUUAGAUUCCGCCCCAGGGUUCAAGGCCGGGUUCCUAGACCCAGAGUCCAUUCGCAGAGCCCAAAACAUCCUCUUCCCGUGCCCCGCCGCGCGGACCCUUAGCCUUGACCGCCCCCAUCUCUUCUGACCACGUCUUACAAUGCCCCUCUCGCCAGGACGCGCCCAGCGUUGGGCCGCAGGCCUGGGGGGCACUGCCCCGUCUUAUGGAAACCCGAGCAGCGACGUCCAGGCGGAUGGAGCCUUGGGGUCCCGGAGCCCGCCGGGAGUGGGCCCAGAAGAAGAGGAAGGGGAGGGCUAUGAGGAACCUGACAGUGAGGAGGACUCCGAGUUCUAUGAGAACGACUCCAACCUUGGGCAGGACCAGCUCUCCCAGGGUAAGGCUGCCCUCCCCCGUGGCCCCCCACCUCUGCGGUGGCCUGUGGACUCGCAUGGACACCCCUCCUUCUCCACCAGAUGGCAGCGGCUACGAGAACCCUGAGGAUGAGCCCCUGGGUCCUGAGGAUGAAGACUCCUUCUCCAACGCUGAGUCUUAUGAGAACGAGGAUGAAGAGCUGACCCAGCCGGUCGCCAGGACAAUGGGGUCCCAGUCCUAUGAGGAUAUGAGAGGAAUCCUGUAUGCAGCCCCCCAGCUCCGCUCCAUUCGGGGCCAGCCUGGACCCAAUCAUGAGGAAGAUGCAGACUCUUAUGAGAACAUGGAUAAUCCCGAUGGGCCAGACCCAGCCUGGGGAGGAGGGGGCCGCAUGGGCACCUGGAGCACCAGGUGAUCCUCAGGUGGCCAGCCUGGAUCUCCUCAAGUCCCCAAGAUCCACACCUGACUCUGAAAUCUGAAGACCUCGAGCAGAUGAUGCCAACCUCUG